rnacentral:tRNA from 1 species
GAGGGCACAGCUCAGUGGUAGAGCACAUGUUUGGCAUGCAUGAGGUCCUAGGUUCAAUCCCCACUACCUACA